rnacentral:rRNA from 1 species
GAUGAACGCUGGCGGCGUGCCUAAUACAUGCAAGUCGAGCGAAUGGAUUAAGAGCUUGCUCUUAUGAAGUUAGCGGCGGACGGGUGAGUAACACGUGGGUAACCUGCCCAUAAGACUGGGAUAACUCCGGGAAACCGGGGCUAAUACCGGAUAACAUUUUGAACCGCAUGGUUCGAAAUUGACAGGCGGCUUCGGCUGUCACUUAUGGAUGGACCCGCGUCGCAUUAGCUAGUUGGUGAGGUAACGGCUCACCUAGGCAACGAUGCGUAGCCGACCUGAGAGGGUGAUCGGCCACACUGGGACUGAGACACGGCCCAGACUCCUACGGGAGGCAGCAGUAGGGAAUCUUCCGCAAUGGACGAAAGUCUGACGGAGCAACGCCGCGUGAGUGAUGAAGGCUUUCGGGUCGUAAAACUCUGUUGUUAGGGAAGAACAAGUGCUAGUUGAAUAAGCUGGCACCUUGACGGUACCUAACCAGAAAGCCACGGCUAACUACGUGCCAGCAGCCGCGGUAA